rnacentral:lncRNA from 1 species
AUUUAGAGUUUAGUAUGACGUCCAUUAUCACUGAACUAGCUAGUAUACAUAUUUGUUUACUGUGCAAGCUGAAGGACUCCUCCGGGUGCGGGAGUUUCUCGCUGCAUUGACGACCCAUUGGUGGCCUUUGGCUGUUGUCUGCUAUAUAUAUGUGGUCGGGUUGUUGUCUAUUUGACACAUUCCCCAUUUCCAUUCUCAAUUUUAUUUUUACAUAGAUCUAUAUAAUUUCAAGUACACCUAUCUGACGAAUAAAUUAUAUAGGAUACACCGUGCUAUAUGUUCUGAGCAUAAUUUAAGCAAACAUUGAUAAUCCAUAUA